UACGUAGGGACCAAGCGUUGUUCGGAUUUACUGGGCGUAAAGGGCGCGUAGGCGGCAAUUCAAGUCAGCUGUGAAAUCUCCGGGCUUAACUCGGAACGGUCAGGUGAUACUGCUUUGCUAGAGUGCGGAAGGGGCAAUCGGAAUUCUUGGUGUAGCGGUGAAAUGCGUAGAUAUCAAGAGGAACACCUGAGGUGAAGACGGGUUGCUGGGCCGACACUGACGCUGACAGCGCGAAAGCCAGGGGAGCAAACGGG
rnacentral:rRNA from 1 species